rnacentral:rRNA from 1 species
UACGUAGGGUGCAAGCGUUAAUCGGAAUUACUGGGCGUAAAGCGUGCGCAGGCGGUUGUGCAAGACCGAUGUGAAAUCCCCGGGCUUAACCUGGGAAUGGCAUUGGUGACUGGACGGCUAGAGUGUGUCAGAGGGGGGUAGAAUUCCACGUGUAGCAGUGAAAUGCGUAGAGAUGUGGAGGAAUACCGAUGGCGAAGGCAGCCCCCUGGGAUAACACUGACGCUCAUGCACGAAAGCGUGGGGAGCAAACAGG